CCCUGCCAUUUGUACACACCGCCCGUCGCACCUACCGAUUGAAUGGUCCGGUGAAGCCUCGGGAUUGUGGUUAUUUUCCUUUAUUGGAAGUUAGUCACGAGAACCUGUCUAAACCUUAUCAUUUAGAG
rnacentral:rRNA from 1 species